GAAGCACGGCUUCGCAGCGCACAUACAGGGAGAGAGCUCCCAAGCAUUGCUGUGAGGAAAGUCCCCGUGCCUUUGGACAGAGAGUGCCAGCAGGAGACUGCGAGAUGUCGUAAUGUUCAUUGUCAGCGACGCUUUCAUGCCGAGGUGCAGUGGCAAGAUGGUUUUACGCGGAGGUGCAUUGGCAAGACGGCAUCCAUCUCUUCACAGCAGCACAGCCAUGUCGUGAGCGUUCGAGCGAGGACGCCAACUAUGAACGGGGCUCAUUCU
rnacentral:RNase_MRP_RNA from 15 species